AUUGAACGCUGGCGGCAUGCUUUACACAUGCAAGUCGAACGGCAACGAGGAGAAGCUUGCUUCUCUGUCGGCGAGUGGCGAACGGGUGAGUAUAGCAUCGGAACGUGCCAAGUAGUGGGGGAUAACCAAACGAAAGUUUGGCUAAUACCGCGUAAGCUCCAAGGAGGAAAGUAGGGGACCUAAAUAAGGCCUUACGCUAUUUGAUCGGCCGAUGUCGGAUUAGCUAGUUGGUGGGGUAAUGGCUCACCAAGGCAAUGAUCCGUAGCGGGUCUGAGAGGACGAUCCGCCACACUGGGACUGAGACACGGCCCAGACUCCUACGGGAGGCAGCAGUGGGGAAUUUUGGACAAAGGGGGAAACCCUGAUCCAGCCAUGCCGCGUGUAUGAAGAAGGCCUUAGGGUUGUAAAGUACUUUUGUUAGGGAAGAAAAGCUAGUUUUUAAUAAAAAUUAGUGAUGACGGUACCUAAAGAAUAAGCACCGGCUAACUACGUG
rnacentral:rRNA from 1 species